AAAUGAAUACUUUCACAUUUCACCGGGCACUGUUGGACUUCAUGGCGAAGGGAGAAGUGUCUGCUGGGGUUGAAAAAAAAGAAAUGAAGAUUGGCAAGCAGCAAUUAUCUUGUCAGAGGGGACCGGGUUGUCAUGGGUACGUGAGACUCGAGAGAGGAGAGGAGAUUAUCCACGGAGAGACAUUUUUGAUCGUUGGAGAUGCUAUCUGCCCGGUCAACAUUGGAGCCUCGGCUAGCCUGCUAGCGCCUGGUAGCGCUGGUUACUGCUGAGGACCUUCAGGCUGAGAGGACCAGCUCCGUGUCAGAAAACCAUUCUGGUGGCGUGAAUGGUAUUGGGGUCGAGACUCCGGUGUGACAUCGGGUGACGGUUGAGUUUGUGGAUACGUGAAUGUGGAUAAACGGCGAUCUGCGAGUAAACAUUUCUGUUCAA